AUGAACGCUGGCGGCGUGCCUAAUACAUGCAAGUCGAGCGAACAGACGAGGAGCUUGCUCCUCUGACGUUAGCGGCGGACGGGUGAGUAACACGUGGAUAACCUACCUAUAAGCCUGGGAUAACUUCGGGAAACCGGAGCUAAUACCGGAUAAUAUAUUGAACCGCAUGGUUCAAUAGUGAAAGACGGUUUUGCUGUCACUUAUAGCUGGAUCCGCGCCGCAUUAGCUAGUUGGUAAGGUAACGGCUUACCAAGGCAACGAUGCGUAGCCGACCUGAGAGGCUGAUCGGCGACACUAGAACUGAGACACGGACCAGACUCCUACGGGAGGCAGCAGUAGGGAAUCUUACGCAAAGGGCGAAAACCUUGCGGAGCAACGCCGCGUGAGUGAUGAAGGUCUUCGGAUCGUAAAACUCUGUUAUUAGGGAAGAACAAAUGUGUAAGUAACUAUGCACGUCUUGACGGUACCUAAUCAGAAAGCCACGGCUAACUACGUG
rnacentral:rRNA from 1 species